rnacentral:rRNA from 1 species
GAUGAACGCUAGCGGCAGGCCUAAUACAUGCAAGUCGAACGGCCCCGACACUUCGGUGUCGGGGUAGUGGCGCACGGGUGCGUAACGCGUACACAACAUACCCUUUACAGGGGGAUAGCGGCGGGAAACUGCCAGUAAUACCCCAUGUCCUUGCGAGGUGGCAUCAUUUUGCAAAGAAAGUUCAAGCGGUAAAGGAUUGGUGUGCGUCCGAUUAGCUAGUUGGCGGGGUAACGCCCACCAAGGCGACGAUCGGUAGGGGGUGUGAGAGCAUGGCCCCCCCACACGGGUACGUGAGACACGGACCCGGACUCCUACGGGAGGGCAGCAGUAAGGAAUAUUGGACGAAUGGACGGAAGUC